GUGCAGCAGUCGCGAAAACUCCACAAUGUGGGAAACCACGAUGGGGGAACUCCCAGUGCGCACACUUUGUGUGCGCUGUUCUCCUGCCUAAAAAGCAGGAGAAGUAAGGGCCGGGUAAGACGGGUGCCAGCCGCCGCGGUAAUACCCGCGGCCCGAGUGGUGCUCAUUAUUAUUGAGCCUAAAGCGUCCGCAGCCGGUUUGGUAGAUGCCUGGGUAAAUCGAAUCGCUUAACGAUCCGAAUUCCGGGUAGACCGCCAAACUUGGGACCGGGAGAGGUUGGAGGUAAUUCUGGGGUAGAGGUAAAAUCCUGUAAGCCUAGGAGGACCACCAGUGGCGAAAGCGUCCAACUAGAACGGAUCCGACGGUAAGGGACGAAGCCCUGGGGCGCAAACGGGAUUAGAUACCCCGGUAGUCC
rnacentral:rRNA from 1 species